rnacentral:rRNA from 1 species
UACGGGGGGGGCAAGCGUUGUUCGGAAUUACUGGGCGUAAAGGGCUCGUAGGCGGCCAACUAAGUCAGACGUGAAAUCCCUCGGCUUAACCGGGGAACUGCGUCUGAUACUGGAUGGCUUGAGUUGGAUGGAGGAGUGCGGAAUUCCAGGUGUAGCGGUGAAAUGCGUAGAUAUCUGGAGGAACACCGGUGGCGAAGGCGGCAUCCUGGACCAACACUGACGCUGAGUGAGCGAAAGCCAGGGGAGCAAACGGG